GCCGAGGAAGAUCGCGGGCGGGCAGGCGGGCGGGCGGGCGGGCGAGGGAGGCAGCGGCAGAGCCCCUGGCCCCGGGACUCGAGCUGCCGCGCAUACAAAGCGAGGAGGCGGUAGCGCCUGCAGCCAGGUGUCCCCCGCGGCCCGGGUCGGGCCCGCGCCCGGCUCUCCCCUCCCCACCGCCCCGCUGGAGGGAACCCCCCGACGGUAUUUUUUUGUGCAGUUUCAGCAAAGCUCCGAGGAAGUUGGUCCUUUUGUUCCACUAUUUAUAGAUUGCGUCAACAUUGCGAAAAGGAGAAGGCGGAGCAGUGGCCCCUCCCCCCCUCCUCUCCCCUUCUCCGCUCCUAGGAGAGAAAAGCCCCAGCACACGACCUAAGUACACAACAGGACAGCCCCCCACCCCUCCUCUUCCCCCUCGCCUCCUCCUCCUCCUCCUCCUCCCACUCUGCAGCCCCGGGAGCAAUCCGGCCAAGCUCCGUCACGUGCCUGCCAGGGAAAACCAGCUUGCCAGAGCCCAAGUGCUCCCGCGCCGCCUGCCAUCAGCGGUAGCAGUCGCAAAGAGAAACUGCCUCCCACCCCUGCCUUCCCCUGAACCCUCUCCCUGCACUACUCCCUUAGUACCCGAAUGUCCCCGCUACUGCUCGAUUCCAGAGCGUCUUAGCAAACGGGAUCGGUUCCCCGUUGGGUUCGCACCUUGCUUACGUGUAUUUGUGCGUUCCCAUGUGUCCUUGUUUCUACACCUCCAGAGAAACAGUCUACACCCCAGGGUGUAUUCAUGUUCGUGCAUUUAUAUAUGACCUAAGCCGGUGUAUUGCAUGUGUAUAUAUUUGUGUUUCAAACCUUUCUAGUUCUCUCUCGUACUCUUGGCCGAAUGUCUACGUAGAAAGAGAAAAAAAAAAGACCCUGGCUGCGCCUGGGUCAUGAUAACGACACGCCUGCACAUUAUCGGGAGAUGGUAAUCACACAUAAGGCAACAGGCUCAGGCGUUAAAAAGGGGCUCAGAAAAGAUUUGUCUUCACAGGUUCUGUGACAACUUGCCACAGUUUACUUCCACCUACUGGGUGCCACUCUUUAGGGGCAAUUCCUUGAUUGAAAUUCCUGUUGCUGGAAGGUGUUUGAAACCGGCAGGUGAAAGCGUUAGUUUUUGAAGAGUUAAUGGCAAUAGGCUUGUAAGAAAAAUAUGUGUCCCUUCUAUUUAUACCUGGUCACGAAAUUAUAGACUUCACCAUGCCCCAAAAUGAAACUGAGCACUUCUUUGGCUUAUAGCCAAAGUCUGAACAGUGUAAAUAAGGAAUACUACAAACACAAGAGGCGGCCUUUCAAUGGAACUAAGUAAAAUUAACUUUUUCCAAGGGUUAUUUACAAUCUCAGCUUCCAGCCGCUCCCCUACUCAUUUACUUGUUUUUAUAUCAUAUUUUAACUUUGUUAGAGUUGUGCUACGAUAAUUUCACAAGCCAGGUCCUGAAAGAAAGCAAGCAAGGAUGAGCUGGACACGUGAAGAAGGUCAGGAAACACAUAGGACCUCUUUUUUCCUCUUUGGGCAGCUGGGCAGCAUGGUAAACAACUUGCUGGAAAGGUUGUGGGAUUUUUUUUUUAAAGGUCGUUUUUGGAAGGUACCAAUCUCUCCUUGCCCUAGUGUAGAGGGGACCAAUGGGGCUUUGGCCAGAACAUCCCCUCGAGAGGAAAGAGCACCGUGCUCACUAUGUCGGAGAGGGUUGCAGGUUGUAAAAGCGAUACAAGGCAAGCUGGGGGACUGGACUUGUCUGAACCUGUAGUGUGAUCUUCAAGUUUCAGACUCAGGUCACCAAGAAGUUGCUAUUGGGUUUUGUUACUUGUGUUAGAUAUUUGUGUAACUUUCCUAGCUGUGAAUUUAAAAAAAAGGGGGGGGAACCUUAAACAUUAGUUCAAUCAACUUACUGAGUUUCUUUUUUAUAUCGAGAUAUGUUAUUUAAAAAAAAGGGAGAUUAUGAGGUGGGGUACUUUACACUCGAAUACUUUACAAUGAGAUUUCAAAUUCAGGCUCAGUGGAACCUGUUGCAAAUAAGUCAGAAUUUUGAGCAGAUUUUAAUCCUAACUGUUGGUUUCGUGAUUUUCCCCCUGCUGCAGAAGACUGAUUUUUCUUAGUGGAUGUUUACCACCUUUCUAUCCUGGUUUCUAAGUAAUUAGCAAAUAGGCCUCUGUUGGACCUUUCUACUAUCACUUUCUCCCUUAUCCCAUUCCUUUUAUUUUACAGUUCGCCCUUAGGCUGGAUUGAGGACACAUUUUCGUUGCCUUGUGGUCGCAUUUACAUUUCACAAAACAUUUUUUCUUACAUUAAAAAAAGUGGAGUUUUAUUUUUCUUUGUCACAAAAGAAACAAUGGCUUUAUGACACACCCUCCAGGGUCAGUCAGUCUUUACAAUCAGCUCUAGCGAUUUAGAUCAACUCCGCCAACCUCACUCUUCCUGGCUCCCUCCCCACAUUUUCCUCUCCUAAUGCCCCUCGUCUCCCCUCCCCCUCCUCAGCACCAGAGUUACUUUAUUGCAGCCAAAGAACACUUUUCUUCGCUCUCCAUUUACCCCCCCAACCACAGACUUUUCCGCGGCUUUCCAAACUGCUUAGCGAAAGGAGCGAAAGGAAAACGAAAGCACCCAGCUCCCAGAGCCCCGAGCAGACCAGGACCAGCGGCUUUUCCCGAGAUCUCGCCAAGACUAGUGGGAAGUUGUUUACUUUUUCAGUGCGGUACAUUAGUGCGAAAACCUGACCAGAUACGAUCCCAACAAAAAUCUAAUGGGUUACCCUGAUAGCAAGGACUCUGUAUGAGAGUUUGCAGCACGGGCAGGACAGAAGAAAAAUCUUGAGAAAUGGUACCCCGAGUUCCACCUUAUAAGAAGAAAUGCUUUGGAUUUCUUUAAAAAUAAUUUAUUGAAAACUUUCUUGGCCCAGUUAUUGAGACAAAAAUGCCAUAUUUCAGAGAACACCAGCUCUUUGAGUUUUCCUGUGAUUUACUUGUGGCCAAUGAUCUGUUGUUUCCCUAGACUUCUUUUGCCUAUUGCAGUCCCUUUUAACUUCUCUUGGGAAAAUACACAUAUAAUAAAAUUUGAUUGCAAACUGAGGCGUCGAGAAUUCUACUGCCUCGUUAAGAUCUGGGAUAUUUCUUGCUGUUUUUAAUCCUUAAAAUGUAGAAAUAACAAAAGUAUUUUUAAAACCUGAAGUUGUUUUCACUCUAUAGUUCCACUGUUUUCUA